rnacentral:rRNA from 1 species
GUAAGUCGAACGGUAAGGUCUUCUUCGGAAGAUAUACGAGUAGCGCACGGGUGAGUAACGCGUACAUAACAUAACUAACAGUGGGGGAUACGCUUUGGAAACGAAGUAUAAUACCCCAUAGUUUUCAUGAAUCGCAUGGUUUAUGGAAUAAAGCUCCGGUGCUGAUAGAUUGGUGUGCGUACUAUUAGGUAGUUGGUGAGGUAGAGGCUCACCAAGCCGACGAUAGUUAGGUGGCGUGAGAGCGUGAAC